UACGGUCACAUGACUUUGAAACAGUAGUUCCCGUACGAUCACCGAAAGUUGAGCAACGCCGUGCCCUGUCAGUACCUAGAUAGGUGACCGCAUGGGAAUACCAGGUGCUGUUA